GGUUCAAUUACUCAGUUGGUUUAGAGUGUCACGUCGACAACGUGGAAGUCACUGGUUCGAAUCCAGUAUUACCCACUA
rnacentral:tRNA from 1 species